rnacentral:rRNA from 2 species
UUGACCUCGAUCAGUAG